GGAACGGUGUCCGAGUUGGUCGAAGGAGCACGACUGGAAAUCGUGUAACGGGUUUCCCCCGUUCGUGGGUUCGAAUCCCACCCGUUCCGCCA
rnacentral:tRNA from 1 species